AUCUGACCUUGACCUCAUUUUCAUGGAUCAGUGGUCAAAGUUAAGUUUUUGAGUUUUGGUCUUUUUUUCUAAUACUAUAUGCAAUAGUUCAACUAUAUUUGGUGUAUGGAAAUAUUUUAUGAUCUAUAUGUCAGUCACGCAGGUUUUAUUUGACCUUGACCUCAUUUUCAAGGUUCAUUGCUCAGUGUUAAGUUUUUGUGUUUUGGUCUGUUUUUCUUAAACUAUAAGCAAUAGGUCAACUCUAUUUGUUGUAUGGAAGAAUUGUUAGCUGUACAUGCCUGCCUAGCAUGGUUCAUCUGACCUUGACCUCAUUUUCAUGGUUCAUUGUUCAAUGUUUAGUUUACUUGGUUAAUGUUAAGUUUAUGUGACAGUUGUAAUAAAGCUUUAUAUUUAGGACUAUCAACAUAAUAUCAAUGAUUAGUAAAGAAGGCGAGACAUUUCA